rnacentral:rRNA from 1 species
UACGUAGGUGACAAGCGUUGUCCGGAUUUACUGGGCGUAAAGAGCGCGCAGGCGGUCGUUCAAGUCGAGUGUGAAAGCCCCCGGCUCAACUGGGGAGGGUCACUCGAUACUGAUCGACUCGAAGGCAGGAGAGGGAAGUGGAAUUCCCGGUGUAGUGGUGAAAUGCGUAGAUAUCGGGAGGAACACCAGUGGCGAAGGCGACUUCCUGGCCUGUUCUUGACGCUGAGGCGCGAAAGCUAGGGGAGCGAACAGG